GAACGUGACGUGGCAGACUGCGUCGCGGCGACUGGAGAGGAAUCCGGUGAGAGUCCGGAGCGGUCCCGCCACUGUGACCCACCUGCCGGUGCAGGAGGGGAGCCAGGGCAUCUGCAGCCGCUGGCCACGGCGU
rnacentral:ncRNA from 2 species